rnacentral:sRNA from 1 species
ACAUAGCCCUGAUAGAAGCGGCAUCCUUUUAAAAGGACAUUUCGAGAACCUCAAUGUCCUUUUAAAAGAUAUAGCGUAUAGCAGGAAAUAGC